CCUACGGGGGGCAGCAGUGGGGGAUAUUGCACAAUGGGGGGAACCCUGAUGCAGCGACGCCGCGUGGGUGAAGAAGCGCCUCGGCGCGUAAAGCCCUGUCAGCAGGGAAGAAAAUGAUGGUACCUGAAGAAGAAGCCCCGGCUAACUCCGUACCAGCAGCCGCGGUCAUACGUAGGGGGCAAGCGUUAUCCGGAUUUACUGGGUGUAAAGGGGGCGCAGACGGCGAUGCAAGCCAGGGGUGAAAGCCCGGGGCCGAACCCCGGGACUGCUCUUGGAACUGCGUGGCUGGAGUGCAGGAGGGGCAGGCGGAAUUCCUGGUGUAGCGGUGAAAUGCGGAGAUAUCAGGAGGAACACCGGUGGCGAAGGCGGCCUGCUGGACUGCAACUGACGUUGAGGCCCGAAAGCGUGGGGAGCAAACAGGAUUAGAUACCCGUGUAGUC
rnacentral:rRNA from 1 species